ACAGAGGCACUGGCACAGAAAUACUCUACUGAGGCUGGAGAGAGGUCACUGCACUAGCUCCCUGCAAGGCAGGACAUGCCAGAGGAUUGAGAGGGACUCGAGCAGCUACUCAGUGUCUGCCCUUUUCCAUACAUGGUGCCUUUUAUUAACUCCUUGAAAACAGCUGCAUUGAACGCUGCUGUUUUGUGUUAACUUCUGAAGAGCUGUGAGGCUCCUAAGCAGAGCCUGCCUAGAAAAGGAAACAGCAGAAAGAGACUGGUGUACCAUCUCCUGAAAUAUGAGUAGAAAAAAAGCAUCAAGGAAAAGAUCAUGGAAGUACUUAAGAAUUUCAGAAGUUACUACCCUUGGAAGAGAAAGAAAAACUUCAGAGACACACUUCCAGAUACCAGAAGAAAGGGCAGUACCCCUCCUUUGCAGGGAGCCCCUCAGGGAGCAUUCUGCGCAGUCAGAGGAGGGAAGAAAUGCUCUUCUCUGUGCUUCAGCCCAUAGCCUUAUCUUUUUGAUGACUGCAGUGUAAUAUGAACAUACAUCCCUCCUGCUCAAGCUGAGCUCCAAAGAGAGGUGCCUGCUAGGAAGUACAGUUGAGUUCAUAUUUGAUUAAAAGAACACUAGCAACAUUAAUAACUGGUACACCUGUGCUGGAAUUGGCAAUUAAACUCAGUCUC